GUGGAGCAUGUGGUUUAAUUCGAAGAUACGCGAAAAACCUUACCAGGUCUUGACAUACCAAUGAUCGCUUUUGUAAUGAAAGCUUUUCUUCGGAACAUUGGAUACAGGUGGUGCAUGGUCGUCGUCAGCUCGUGUCGUGAGAUGUUGGGUUAAGUCCCGCAACGAGCGCAACCCUUGUUAUUAGUUGCCAGCAUUUAGUUGGGCACUCUAAUGAGACUGCCGGUGAUAAACCGGAGGAAGGUGGGGACGACGUCAGAUCAUCAUGCCCCUUAUGACCUGGGCAACACACGUGCUACAAUGGGAAGUACAACGAGUCGCAAACCGGCGACGGUAAGCUAAUCUCUUAAAACUUCUCUCAGUUCGGACUGGAGUCUGCAACUCGACUCCACGAAGGCGGAAUCGCUAGUAAUCGCGAAUCAGCAUGUCGCGGUGAAUACGUUCCCGGGUCUUGUACACACCGCCCGUCAAAUCAUGGGAGUCGGAAGUACCCAAAGUCGCUUGGCUAACUUUUAGAGGCCGGUGCCUAAGGUAAAAUCGAUGACUGGGAUUAAGUCGUAACAAGGUAGCCGUAGGAGAACCUGCGGCUGGAUCACCUCCUUUCUAAGGA
rnacentral:rRNA from 1 species